CAGUAGCGCGGGGAAGGGGCGGUGUGUCCAGAAGCCCCUGCGCAAGGAGGGGCUUUGGCCAGGGUCGAUCGACGGUAAUGACGGUCGCUGUUUCUUCUUUCCCUCUCCCAGAGACCGUGCUGAGGACGUGGUUGUCUGUCCUUCCCCCGGGGAUGCCGUUGACUGCGGCCGUCUCAGGCUUGCGUGGCUUCUCUCUGCCCGGCGUUGCCAUCCUCGCAGCGCGGGGGCGAAAAGGGACACACAGAGCCCUUCCCGGCUGUGGACAGGAGCUGCCUCGGCUGAAGCUGGAGACGCCAACGAAAGGUGGAGGACGGCCUAGAGUCUGGAGCUGCAGAAGAGGCAGGGCGGAGAGGAGGGGAAAGAAGCAUCUGAACGGCUAAAUUGUGCCAGCAGCGCUGAGAGCGAGAGUCGCGAUGUCUUCUCAGUGUCUCGUGAUGCUCAAGAGAUGCCCCCCGGCCCGGGUUUGCCUGCCGGUCGUUAAGCGUGGUGAAGGUAAGGGGCCAUCCCUCUGCCUGGGGGCUCCCGGCUCUGUCUCCAGCGGGUGCCCCGCAGGUGCGGCCGCGAGGGCUGCCUGGUGGGGAGAGUCGGGGCCCCCAGGGGCCGGGGCUGUUUGUCGCCCCGGGGAGCCCGUCCCAGCGCGGGAACAUGUCCGAGCAGAGCCCGAGAGAGACGUGACACCGUCCUCUGGCACGCUCCCGCUCCGCCGUGGGGCGGCCGCUAGCCUGCGGACAGGGGCUGGUGGGGCUGCAGCUGUUUGGGGGGCUGCCCCACCUUUUAGAUUUUA